ACGUGUGUGUGCAUGCAUGUGCGUGCGCGCACACACACACACACACACACACACACACACACACACACACACACACACAUUU
rnacentral:miRNA from 1 species